CGCAAACAUGUUUCAGACUGCAUGUUAACUGGCAGUGACACGUGACACUACUUCAGGUAUCUCCCGCAAACACAAACCUGUGUCAGGCUACAUGUUACCUGGCAGUGACACCUGGCACUACUUCAAGUAUCUCCCACAGACACAAACCUGUGUCAGGCUGCAUGUUACCUGGCAGUGGCACCUGGCACUACUUCAGGUAUCUCCCACAGACACAAACCUGUGUCAGACUGCAUGUUACCUGGCAGUGACACAUGACACUACUUCAGGUAUCUCCCACAAACACAAACCUGUGUCAGGCUGUAUGUUACGUGGCAGUGACACAUGGCACUACUUCAGAUAUCUCCCACAGACACAAACCUGUGUCAGGCUGUAUGUUACGUGGCAGUGACACCUGGCACUACUUCAGAUAUCUCCCACAGAC